rnacentral:rRNA from 1 species
UACGUAUGGUGCAAGCGUUAUCCGGAUUUACUGGGUGUAAAGGGAGCGCAGGCGGCACGGCAAGCCUGAUGUGAAAGCCCGCGGCCCAACCGCGGGACUGCAUUGGGAACUACCGGGCUGGAGUGCCGGAGAGGUAGGCGGAAUUCCUAGUGUAGCGGUGAAAUGCGUAGAUAUUAGGAGGAACACCAGUGGCGAAGGCGGCCUACUGGACGGUGACUGACGCUGAGGCUCGAAAGCGUUGGGAGCAAACAGG